AAGAAAAAGGGAGGAAUGAACCUUGCAAUGAGAACACUGGCAUUUGUACCUUAGGAUGUGUUUAACACCUUUGUUCUUCUCUCCACUGCAAAGUAUUAACUGCUAAUUUUAUAAGGUUACUCUAGUGCAGAGGCCAAGUGAGAGAACAUCAGGUUGACCAUUAUGUCUGCAUCAUUGUCACAAUUAAUUUUAGCCCAGCACAGGCACUUCACAGAACUGAAAACCAGAAAUUCAACAAUAAAACUGAAGGCGACUGCUAAAAGGUGCAGGUUAUGGACUCUUUCUACGUCGAGCAUGCUGCAACAGUCCUCAUUCACAGCAUGAAAGAAUAAAAGCCAGAGAAGACAGAAAAUGAAGCCCAUGAAAAAGUCUUAUUCAUUCUACAUUGUGGAGAAUUUGAAUAGUGUAUUUUUAAAGGCUCAAAAAAGCAAGAUGAAACAAGGCAAAUGAGAAAGACUUCUGUUGCUGACUUGUAAGAAGGCAGGUCUUGAAAG